ensembl:snRNA U6 U6 spliceosomal RNA
GUGCUGGCUUCAGCAGCACAUACACUAAAAUUGGAACAAUGCAGAGAAGAUUAGCAUGGCUCUCGUGCAAGAAUAAAUCAGAUUUCUUAUAGGCAGCAUAUACUUAU